AGCAGCCGCGGUAACACCGGCGGCCCGGAGUGGUGAGUCGUGAUUAUUGGGUCUAAAGGGUCCGGUAGCCGGUUGGUCAGUCCUCCGGGAAAUCUGAUAGCUCAACUAUUAGGCUUUCGGGGGAUACUGCCAGACUUGGAACCGGGAGAGGUAAGAGGUACUACAGGGGUAGGAGUGAAAUCUUGUAAUCCCUGUGGGACCACCUGUGGCGAAGGCGUCUUACCAGAACGGGUUCGACGGUGAGGGACGAAAGCUGGGGGGCACGAACCGGAUUAGAUACCCGGGUAGUCCCAGCCGUAAACGAUGCUCGCUAGGUGUCAGGCAUGGCGCGACCGUGUCUGGUGCCGCAGGGAAGCCGUGAAGCGAGCCACCUGGGAAGUACGGCCGCAAGGCUGAAACUUAAAGGAAUUGGCGGGGAGCACAACAACGGGUGGAGCCCUGCGGUUUAAUUGGACUCAACGCCGGACAACUCACCGGGGGCGACAGCAAUAUGUAGGCCAAGCUGAAGACUUUGCCUGAAUCGCUGAGAAGAGGUGCAUGG
rnacentral:rRNA from 1 species